CCUACGGGAGGCAGCAGUGGGGAAUUUUGGACAAUGGGCGCAAGCCUGAUCCAGCAAUGCCGCGUGCAGGAUGAAGGCCUUCGGGUUGUAAACUGCUUUUGUACGGAACGAAACGGUGAGCUCUAAUAAAGUUUGCUAAUGACGGUACCGUAAGAAUAAGCACCGGCUAACUACGUGCCAGCAGCCGCGGUAAUACGUAGGGUGCGAGCGUUAAUCGGAAUUACUGGGCGUAAAGCGUGCGCAGGCGGUUAUAUAAGACAGAUGUGAAAUCCCCGGGCUCAACCUGGGACCUGCAUUUGUGACUGUAUAGCUAGAGUACGGUAGAGGGGGAUGGAAUUCCGCGUGUAGCAGUGAAAUGCGUAGAUAUGCGGAGGAACACCGAUGGCGAAGGCAAUCCCCUGGACCUGUACUGACGCUCAUGCACGAAAGCGUGGGGAGCAAACAGGAUUAGAUACCCUGGUAGUCCACGCCCUAAACGAUGUCAACUGGUUGUUGGGUCUUCACUGACUCAGUAACGAAGCUAACGCGUGAAGUUGACCGCCUGGGGAAGUACGGCCGCAAGGUUGAAACUUAAAUGAAUUGACGG
rnacentral:rRNA from 1 species